UCUCCAUUUGCAAAUGUCUGGUGAAUGGAAAAAGUGGACAGAUCGAGAGCGUGGAUCUGCCGGACAUCAGUAGUCACUCACAGAACCGCAGAAUUGAUUCAUUUCUAAACUUAAUUGGAAUUCCAGGAUGCAGGCUGUACGCAACUGACCUUCAAAUCCUUUUUGGAUUGUGUUGCCAAUACAUUUGACAUUCCAACAAGACCUUGGUGUGCUGGAGAUUUGUUUACCCCAAGACCCAAAUCCUGAUGAUUCUUUGAGUUCCUCUGCAAGCAGCUCCUUAUCAAAAUACAGUGGAGACAAUGAGGGGGACUCCGAUGACACCAUUAUAUUGCAGCAGAUUCCUGCUACAAGAAAGACAGCUGGGGAUAAUCGUCUAUCUCAUGUGAACACAGAGCGCUUUGAGUCGGAGACCAGGGUGAUAAACCAUGUGGAGGGAGGCUGGCCCAAGGACGUCAACCCCCAGGAGAUGGAGCAGACUGUCCACUUCAGGAAGAAAGUGGAGAAAGACAAGCAUUAUUUCAGCACCAUCAUGCAGCUGGGCAGUGCGUGACAGACAUCAGCCAGUCAAGUAGCCACGAUAUGACCCGGGUCAUAGAGAUUUUUCAAUUCAAUAAUAUUUUAUUGAAUUAAUCACUAGUGUAUAACAUUAUGCCAUAUCUAAAUAAUACGUCCUAUAGCAGCAUACCACCCUGCAUCCCACUGAUGUCUUUCCUCUGAAGCUACAGUAAGCAGGGUUGGUCCUGGUCAGUCCCUAGAUGAGACCAGAUGCUGCCGGAUGUGGUGUUGGAGGGCCAGUAGGGGGCACUCUUUUCUCUGAUAAUUUUUAAAAAAAGUUGCUGUCUUUUGGAUGGAACAUUAAAUGGGUGUCCUGACUCUCUGUGGUCAGUAAGAAUCCCAUGGCACUUAUAGUAAGAGUAUGGGUGUUAACUGGCCCUGAAUCUAGGUCGUCGCUGUAAAUAAGAAUUUGGUUUUAACUGACUUGCCUAGUUAAAUAAAGGUUAAAUAAAACAUGUAAAAACGUCAUCUACAUUGCCCCAAAGCCAUUUCUUAGCUGCUGCAGUAGUGUGAUAGAUAGAGAAAAUGACCAGUUCUGAAAGGGAGAGAGCAAGAAGAGUGUUCCUCUCUAUCUCUGAUCACAGCCCUCUGUUCCUCCCGUGAGAACACAGAACAUGGAGCACAGCAUCAAGCAGAACACUGCCAUCAACAUCUACCGGGAGUACUUUGAAGGGGAGGAGGUGGUGGAGGAGUCAAAACCAUCAAUGUUUUUAAGUGCUUCCAUGACCUCUAUUAACCUAUCGUCCAACAUAGAAUCCACAAAUGAUGUAUAUUACCAGUGUAUUGUGUCCGUCUGAGUGGUUUUUGAUCUUACAGAAACCCGAACAAGAUAAAACACACUGCCACCUCAUUGGAGUUCCUGAAAGUCUAAAGACGUUAGCUACAACUCUGAUAUAUGGAACAUUGAUAGGUGUAUGACUCAAACAUCUCUUUCAUUUAUAUUUUCCUUUCUAACAGGGAUUAUCAUUGCAAUAGCUGUGGCAGUGAGAUUGACUAAUUUGUCAUCUUAAUUGAUAGUUCAGAAAGUCAAAGUGGACUACAAAGUAUUAAUUAAUUGAAUCCCCUGUGUUGCCUCUUCAGAGAAUAGGAAUAAGCCAGAAAUGACCCUAAAACCUGUCUCUCCACUGGUCUGUCUGGAAUACAACCCCCCAAAGACUCCCACAUCCUGGUCGGAGGUAGCUACAAUGGCCAGAUCAGUGGGUCCUUCACACAGCUGUAUCAUGCUUCCUGCCAGCUCAGGAACAAUGUCCUUAGGAGAUUACUGUGCAGUGUAAAGAACUUUGGAGAUAUAGUCAAGUCAUCCAACUCCAGACUACAGCUAUUUGUAAAUGUCAUAAAGGUUCCAGUUAUGUAAUGUCUGGAUUUGUCCGGAUGCUCUUUUGAGCAUUUAAGCCUCUAGAUAUUUGUUUAGGCUCUGGCAGUUAAUAGUUGUGUUGUGUGUUCUUGUCAUUUGUGUGUUUUGUGCAUGCAUGCAUGUGUGUUUGUGAAAGGACACAAAGUAAAAUGUCUGCGCAGCUUAUUUGGACACUCGCAAGGGCAGCUAGCCAGUGGAAAUGUCCACACUAGAGCACAGCCACAGAGACCCAGUCUACAAAGUAAUCUGGUUGCAGUCAAAGACUGGAACCGAUACCUUCUCUGCGUCUAAGGACGGCCAGGUGAACCAAGCCUCCAAUAGAAGCAAUAAAAGCCUUUGUCACCUUAUCCCUUUCUCAAGCCAAGCAGGCACAAUAGGCCAGGGUGGCACUAAACGCUCAGGACUCAUGGGCAGUGAAGUCUGAUACUCUUGGUCCGGGACAGGUGCACUUUCUCUGACCUUCAAUUGCCAUUUGGCCAUAGCCAGAAGUUAUGUAAUAAUGCAUCUAUUGAAGGCAAGGAGACUGACUAAUCGGCCCUGAGUUGACCACUGGUCUCUGUCUAUAAGGUGCUGGGGUGGGACAUUCGUAAGAUGAGCGAGCCCACAGAGAGGCUGGUACUGGACCCUAACAAGAAGUGCAAUCUGGACAAUGCCCUGGGGGUGAUCUCACUGGAGUUUGAGACCACUAUGGUGCUGAGGCUCUCUAGACUGGACUAUCCUUCUGUUGUUUCACUGUUGAUGAAUUAAGAGUGUGGAUUCGCCUAACGUAUUUUUGUAUGAACUGGUCCAAGUGGGAGAUCUAGUAUGUCAUCUAUUUGUAUUUGUACAUAAGGAAGACCAAAUUUAACCUGAUGUUUUUCCUUAUUCUGACCACAAGGGCUGUUGGUCUCAUGUAACCAAAAGGCCAAGAGCCCACCUGAGAAGAUAGUGUGCACGUACAGCGGUCCUCACGGCCCAAUCUACGCCCUGCAAAAGAACCCGUUCUUAAGAACUUCCUGACCGUAGCCGAUUGGAAAGCCCAUAUCUGGUCGGAAGACCUCAUGUGGACAAAAUCGCAUACAGUCUAUCUGUCUGAAGGCUGAUGGAGUCCAAUACGGCCCUCUGUGUUCUUCGCCAUCAAAAUGGACCAAAUACUCGACAUUUGGGACUUCCUCUUCAAACAGAACGACCCCACACU